CAGCAGCCGCGGGAACACGUAGGGGGCAAGCGUUGUCCGGAAUCAUUGGGCGUAAAGCGCGUGUAGGCGGCUCGAUAAGUCUGCUGUGAAAGUUCAGGGCUCAACCCUGAAAUGCCGGUGGAAACUGUCGAGCUUGAGUCCGGAAGAGGCAAGUGGAAUUCCUGGUGUAGCGGUGAAAUGCGCAGAUAUCAGGAGGAACACCAAUGGCGAAGGCAGCUUGCUGGGACGGUACUGACGCUGAGACGCGAAAGCGUGGGGAGCAAACAGGAUUAGAUACCCGCGUAGUCCCUGUCUCUUAUAC
rnacentral:rRNA from 1 species